CCUACGGGGGGCAGCAGUGAGGAAUAUUGGUCAAUGGACGAGAGUCUGAACCAGCCAAGUAGCGUGAAGGAUGACUGCCCUAUGGGUUGUAAACUUCUUUUAUAUGGGAAUAAAAUGUUCCACGUGUGGGAUUUUGUCUGUACCAUAUGAAUAAGGAUCGGCUAACUCCGUGCCAGCAGCCGCGGUAAUACGGAGGAUCCGAGCGUUAUCCGGAUUUAUUGGGUGUAAAGGGAGCGUAGGUGGAUUGUUAAGUCAGUUGUGAAAGUUUGCGGUUCAACCGUAAAAUUGCAGUUGAAACUGGCAGUCUUGAGUACAGGAGAGGCAGGCGGAAUUCGUGGUGUAGCGGUGAAAUGCGUAGAUAUCACGAAGAACUCCGAUGGCGAAGGCAGUUCACUGGACUGCAACUGACACUGAGGCUCGAAAGUGUGGGUAUCAAACAGGAUUAGAUACCCCGGUAGUC
rnacentral:rRNA from 1 species